AACUUUUAACAAUGGAUCACUGAACUAGCGUCAACUUUUGGCAAUGGAUCUCUUGGCUCUCGCAUCGAUGAAGAACGCAGCGAAAUGCGAUAAGUAAUGUGAAUUGCAGAAUUCAGUGAAUCAUCGAAUCUUUGAACGCACCUUGCGCUCCUUGGUAUUCCGAGGAGCAUGCCUGUUUGAGUGUCAUUAAUAUACAUAUAUCAAGCCUUCUCUUGUAGAAGGGUUUGGAUGUGGGGGUUUGCUGGCCUCUUAAUCUUAAGAGUUCAGCUCUCCUGAAAUGCAUUAGCAGAACAACCUUAUGUUCAUUGGUGUGAUAACUAUCUACGCUAUUGAAUGUUGAGAGGGAAGUUCAGCUUUCUAACGGUCCCUUGGACAACUCAUCAUUAAUGUGACCUCAAAUCAGGUAGGACUACCCGCUGAACUUAAGCAUAUCAAUAAGCGGAGGCU
rnacentral:misc_RNA from 1 species